rnacentral:lncRNA from 1 species
GGGAGUGGGUAGAAAAAAGAACUGGAAAUUUCAGAGUUUGAGCUCUGAGCAGCAUUAGCUUCCUUGGUUUUCGUGAUAUUUGUCUAAUUUCCUAUUUCAGAGUUUUGGAGCUCCGAACAGCAUUAGCUUUGAUCGAUCCUAGACGCAGCAGAGAAAUGGAGCAAAGAAAAAGGCGAAGAAGAGGAAGAAAAAGACUUAACAUUGUGUCAAUAUCUUUCCGCUGUUAUUCUUGUCCUUAGUCAUUCUUCCAAAAACACCAGUUGUAGCCGAAUAAUCUGAAUAACUUGUCCACAAGUACUCACCGUAUGAAAUAUGUAAUACAAUUGUUUUUUUAAUAAAAAUAUGUGCAG